UAUGUGGGGGGUAGGGUAUGGAGGAAAGGGAGCUUUUUCUUUUUUAGGAGUUUUUUUUUAUACAUAACUGGAAUGUGAAACUCCUGCUUUGUCCCUCAUUUUCUAUUUUAUAGGGGGAUGCUUGCUGUAAGCCUUUAGCAGCUUGGCAGACCUAGAUUUGAAGUAAAAGAAAGAAAAUUUGUCUCUGCAUCUUCAGAAACUGUGAAUUAUUUAUUUGCUAUUCCUGGUAAAUCUGCUGUUGCAAAACCUCACUGCGAAAUGAGCAUUUCUUUGUUUCAUUGGACUGUGGGAUCACUCCCUGAAGAUUCAUCAGCCCUGCUGCUGUAAGAAGCUGUCCUCAAAGCUUUUUUUAUUGUUAUUAUUUGGUAAUGCUUGAGAUUAUUUUUGCUUCACCGUCAUUUAUUCUCCUGUUCAUUUUAAAAACUAGGUAAUUGCAUGAAGUAAUCUGAAAUUUAAGAUCUCCUCCUGAGAUUUUUUUUUUUGUGCCUGCAUCCGAUCUUCUGUCACAUAGGUUAACUCCACAACACUGUUGCCCAAAUUCAGCAUCAAUUUCAACAAGUAAAUAUUUAUACAGCAUCCAAGAUGCAGUCUGUACACAGAAUGACACCAAAUUAAGUUAAAUUGAUACUAACUACUCUAGGAUUGAAGAGUGUCCGGACAAAAGGUGUUACCAAUUUAACCAAAUCUAUUUCAAAACCUGGAAUAAUUCACUGUGAAGGGCAAAUUUCACCUUUCGGAUGUCUUGAAUGCCUUUGGACCAAAUCCCACUGUUUUCACUCCACACAGGACUACCUAUUGAGAUAGUGUAAGGUCAUAUUAUGUCUUUUCUCACUGUUCUUUCAGGGCCAUGUGUUCCCCCUGGGUUUUAGGAAGAUUUAACAAAUAUUUGUUUUUAACAGCCUUUUUCUUCAGUGUAAAACCACUGUUGAAGACCACUGUACAUUAUCUUAGUCUCUUGCCCACCUUAAUCAGGCAAAUGCUGCAGGUUUUGUUCUGAACUAGGUCAGAUGCACCAGUUUUGCACUAUAUAUAUUCAGGGUGGGCACAAAGUGUCCCUUGGACCAUAUGGUCUGCAGCCCUGGGUUUUGUUGGCUCACAGUCUUUCUAAUUCCUCCUAAUCUGCUCAUAAGCACCUCCAAAAGGGUUCUUCACACACCUCACCAGUAAUCUCUAUCAAUGUCUGGUUGCUCUUUCAAUCUAAUGCCAGAUGGUAUUAAUAUACCCAUCACUGUAAUUAUCCAGACAAGCAAACAGUGGCAGGAGCAAUCCCAACUUCUCACUUUUCCCACUGAUUCAGAGGCAUACUUGAAAGAGCCCUUUCAUCCCCAUGGAUCCUGUUCCCUGGAGUUGUCCCAGGCUGUCCUCAUCAAAAGGGAAUUUGAUGUUUCAGCAGUUUCUCAGCCAGUUUCAUGCUGGGAAAGACUCAGUGGUGAUGGGGCAGUAUCAUUCAUUCUCCCUCCAACUGUUGCCCAGACACUUGGUACAUGGCCAGGUGUCAGUCCCACAUCAGGUCCUCCUUUAAAACCUUUCACAAGACCGAGAUCUAUGUGUGAAAUGGAAAUUCUGCUGAUGCCUUGUAGCUUGAAAGCUAGCCUGCCUUUUGUCUGGCUCCCAGAUUUGCUGCAGUGGACAGCCUGGACAGAAGGUUUCUGAUGCCAUGUGUUGGGAAGGAGGUACUCCUGAAAGCUUCCUGCACCCAGCAAGUUCUGUGCAAAUACCUCCUGCCAAGUCCAUCUAAAUGCUAUGUGGCAUUUGGAGAAAGUUUAUUUAGCUUGAGCCGACAGCAAAAUGAAACUGUAAGGAAUUAUUUUGAAAUUAUCUUGAAAUUAUCUUGUAAAUUGGGUCCCUUGAGUAUCGAGAUCUUUGCUCAAGCCUUUAAAGGCUGCCCAGUUUACCACACACCCAAAGAGCUUUGGGCAAUGUGUGUAUUCAAGGAGGCAAGAUCUGUAAGUAGAGAUAAAUGCAAGAUCAGUUUGAUAGCUGGAAAAAACAGAACACGUUUGAACACCUCAGCCUUUCCAAGACCCAUCUCCUAUUAAGGAGUAAGAUGUUACACUUGCACCAAGCGUAUUUGGUUUUAGGAAUGAGCAGCAGUGAUGCCAUAAUGACAAGAAGGAAGACUUUGAUGCCCACAUCACAAAGAAUAUGCAAACUUGUAUUAUUCCUUUGAUUAGCUGCUCUCUGAUAUGUCAAGUCCAUGAAUAAUCAAGCUUCAUUUUCUAAUUAGUUUACUCAUCACCCCACUGCUCCAUGCCUUCACUCAUUUGCAUACCCUGUACUAGAUAAGGGCCUUAUUCUAUGAGGUGCUAGCAGGGCUUCCACCUCUCUCCCACCACAGCAUUUCUUUGGUCCUUUCCCAGGAAGCAGAAUGGUGUCUUCCACGCUGUGAAGUCUCCUGGUGAUACCUUAUGACUCCAUAAUCUGGUUUCAGCCAGCCCCAAAGGAGAAGUACAAUAAUCAAAGUUGAUGGUUUGCACAUGUUAUGGAAGUGGUGGAGGAGAGGGGAUAAGGCAGCUGGGGAUAAGGCUGGAGCAUCCACUUCAUCACUUUGAGGAGAAAUGAUGGGAAAAGUGGUUUUGAAUGCCGUGGCCACAAAUCUGUUCAGCCAUCAGACAAGGCAGGCAAUUCCAUAAAGGAAAGCCGCAGCAGUUGGGCUGUUGAUGAUUAUGUUUGUCACUUUAAUAAAUAUGUUAUUUUCAUGA